rnacentral:rRNA from 1 species
CCUACGGGAGGCAGCAGUGGGGAAUCUUCCGCAAUGGACGAAAGUCUGACGGAGCAACGCCGCGUGAGUGAAGAAGGAUUUCGGUUCGUAAAGCUCUGUUGUUAGGGAAGAAUGAUUGUGUAGUAACUAUACACAGUAGAGACGGUACCUAACCAGAAAGCCACGGCUAACUACGUGCCAGCAGCCGCGGUAAUACGUAGGUGGCAAGCGUUGUCCGGAAUUACUGGGCGUAAAGCGCGCGCAGGUGGUUUAAUAAGUCUGAUGUGAAAGCCCACGGCUCAACCGUGGAGGGUCAUUGGAAACUGUUAAACUUGAGUGCAGGAGAGAAAAGUGGAAUUCCUAGUGUAGCGGUGAAAUGCGUAGAGAUUAGGAGGAACACCAGUGGCGAAGGCGGCUUUUUGGCCUGUAACUGACACUGAGGCGCGAAAGCGUGGGGAGCAAACAGGAUUAGAUACCCCGGUAGUC